GGGAUUGUAGCUUAGUGGUAGAGUACUUGCCUAGCAUGCAUGAAGCCCUGGGUUCAAUUCCUCAGUACCA
rnacentral:tRNA from 1 species